CCUACGGGAGGCAGCAGUGAGGAAUAUUGGUCAAUGGUCGGGAGACUGAACCAGCCAAGCCGCGUGAGGGAUGAAGGUACAGAGUAUCGUAAACCUCUUUUGUCAGGGAACAAAGGCGGGGACGCGUCCCCGGAUGAGUGUACCUGAAGAAAAAGCAUCGGCUAACUCCGUGCCAGCAGCCGCGGUAAUACGGAGGAUGCGAGCGUUAUCCGGAUUUAUUGGGUUUAAGGGGUGCGCAGGCGGUCUGUUAAGUCAGCGGUAAAAGCCCGGGGCUAAACCCCGGCCUGCCGUUGAAACUGGCAGUCUCGAGUUGGAGAGAAGUAUGCGGAAUGCGCGGUGUAGCGGUGAAAUGCAUAGAUAUCGCGCAGAACUCCGAUUGCGAAGGCAGCAUGCCGGCUCCACACUGACGCUGAGGCACGAAAGCGUGGGUAUCGAACAGGAUUAGAUACCCUAGUAGUC
rnacentral:rRNA from 1 species